rnacentral:rRNA from 1 species
CAGCAGCCGCGGGAAUACGAAGGGGGCUGGCGUUGUUCGGAAUUACUGGGCGUAAAGCGCACGUAGGCGGUUUGUACAGUUGGAUGUGAAAUUCCUGGGCUUAACCUGGGGGCUGCAUUCAAUACGUGCAGGCUUGAGUGUGGAAGAGGGUUGUGGAAUUCCCAGUGUAGAGGUGAAAUUCGUAGAUAUUGGGAAGAACACCGGUGGCGAAGGCGGCAACCUGGUCCAUUACUGACGCUGAGGCGCGAAAGCGUGGGGAGCAAACAGGAUUAGAUACCCCAGUAGUCCCUGUCUCUUAUAC